UACAUGAGUGUCCUUGCACUUUUCAGGAGUUAAGGCAGAUGUGGAGGCACACGGGUGACACCAGACACACACCAAGCACAUUGUUCGGACAUUCAAUCAUGACAUGAUCCAUGUGGAUGCUGUCCAUUGAGGAAAGAGUUUGUUUAGAGGUUUCUGGACAGAAUUAAUCCCAAAGAUGGGAAAAGUGCACAUCCAGACAAGGAGCAAGCAAAAAG